rnacentral:rRNA from 1 species
CCUACGGGAGGCAGCAGUAAGGAAUAUUGGUCAAUGGAGGCAACUCUGAACCAGCCAUGCCGCGUGCAGGAAGAAGGCCCUAUGGGUCGUAAACUGCUUUUGUACCAGAGAAAACCCGAGUACGUGUACUCGGUUGAUAGUAUGGUAAGAAUAAGCAUCGGCUAACUUCGUGCCAGCAGCCGCGGUAAGACGAAGGAUGCAAGCGUUAUCCGGAUUCAUUGGGUUUAAAGGGUGCGUAGGCGGACUGAUAAGUCAGUGGUGAAAUCCCUCGGCUUAACCGAGAAACUGCCAUUGAUACUGUUAGUCUAGAGUAUAGAUGACGUUGGCGGAAUAUGACAUGUAGUGGUGAAAUACUUAGAUAUGUCAUAGAACACCGAUUGCGAAGGCAGCUAACGAAACUAUAACUGACGCUGAGGCACGAAAGUGCGGGGAUCAAACAGGAUUAGAUACCCUGGUAGUCCGCACCGUAAACGAUGAUUACUCGUUGUUGGCAAUAUGACCGUCAGCGACCAAGCGAAAGCGAUAAGUAAUCCACCUGGGGAGUACGCCGGCAACGGUGAAACGUCAAAGGAAUUGACGGCUGAGACGAGCGAGGACGACACGAGGGAGGAGG